UCUAGUUAGCAUUAUACCGUGAAACUGCGAAUGGCUCAUUAAAUCAGUUAUCGUUUAUUUGAUAAUACCUUACUACUUGGAUAACCGUGGUAAUUCUAGAGCUAAUACAUGCUGAAAAUCCCGACUUCGGAAGGGAUGUGUUUAUUAGAUAAAAAACCAAUGCCCUUCGGGGCUUUUUGGUGAUUCAUGAUAACUUUACGGAUCGCAUAGCCUUGCGCUGGCGACGGUUCAUUCAAAUUUCUGCCCUAUCAACUUUCGAUGGUAAGGUAUUGGCUUACCAUGGUUUCAACGGGUAACGGGGAAUUAGGGUUCGAUUCCGGAGAGGGAGCCUGAGAAACGGCUACCACAUCCAAGGAAGGCAGCAGGCGCGCAAAUUACCCAAUCCCGACACGGGGAGGUAGUGACAAUAAAUACUGAUACAGGGCUCUUUUGGGUCUUGUAAUUGGAAUGAGUACAAUUUAAACCUCUUAACGAGGAACAAUUGGAGGGCAAGUCUGGUGCCAGCAGCCGCGGUAAUUCCAGCUCCAAUAGCGUAUAUUAAAGUUGUUGCAGUUAAAAAGCUCGUAGUUGAAACUUGGGCCUGGCUGGCGGGUCCGCCUCACCGCGUGCACUCGUCCGGCCGGGCCUUCCUUCUGAAGAACCUCAUGCCCUUCACUGGGCGUGCUGGGGAAUCAGGACUUUUACUUUGAAAAAAUUAGAGUGUUCAAA
rnacentral:rRNA from 1 species